UCCCAGAGCCAAAGCCCCCUCCACAUCCCAAGUUCCUAACCUGACCUCCACCAUGAGAGAUUAACAUCCCAACCAGCUGCUGCUCGCAACGUACGUAGCAUCUUGCCCGCCCCUCGUCGAAGUCCGACCCGCAGCUAGCUCAGCCGGCGGCCGGCGAGCACAACGUACGUGGUGGGGUCGCACUCGCGCACCACCGGCGGAGCUAGCUAGCUAGCGUUGCCCCUGUCUCUGCCACCGCUCGUCGCCGCGGCCGGCCUGCCUGUAGAUCGUACGCCGACUUCGACGACGUACGGCCACCUCCUCCCCCAACGAAUUAGCCAUACGGAAGGACAAGGUGAGAGUACCGCUAGCUACAUGCAUCUUUAGCUUGAUUUGCUAUCCACUUAAUCGCGGAGACGUACAAGCGGAACCUUGUCUUGUAAGGUGCUGCAACAUUAAGUUUUAGAUUUGGAUGUAGGUAUUAAGAAAGUGAUGAAAUUAAAAACUGAAGAGUUGUGAUUGGUUAAAAAAAUUGUAAUUGAAGAGGUUGCUAUAUUCUAAGAUAAAUUUUAAAUGCUAGAAAUAACUAUAUUUUGAUAUUUUGGGUGGGACGGAGGGAGUAACAAUUUUUUAAAGAAACCUACAAGCUUUGGAGCCUCUUAAUGUUUUGAUGCGGAAUUUUUUUUCUGUAUAUUCCAGUUAGCUGUUGUAACCCCACAUUAAACAUUUCCUGAUUUAUUGUUGCUAGCUGUUCUAUGCAGUUUUUUAAUUAAGGGGUAAAGUCCAUCUUACUCUCCAAAUAUGGCAAAGGCAAAGAAAAAGAAGAAGAAAAAAAACCCCAAAGGUAUUGCUUUCGGAGCUUGAACGGCCUACCUAUUUGUACACUUAUUGAUUCUUAAGAAGUUUUGUUGUUUAAUAUGGUUAUCAUGUUUUCAGCUUACUUUUGAAUAAUUGGAUUGGACAGUCAUAGGAAAGAAAAAAUAAAUGAGUAAGUAAUGAUGCCAUUUUAUUAAUUACUAGUAAAUCUGCGUGCAAUGCAAUUAUAGCAUAUUUCAUAUCAUGCACUAUAAUACAUAAUGAUUUUUAUUUAAUAAUAUAUAAUGAUGUUCUUAUUUUUACAUACAACUUAAAACUAAAAAUUUUAAGACAUUAUGAUGUUUGGGCUUAUCAUGAAAAGCUUAAAAAAAAUGGACAACUUAUCAUGGCGAUGUAGGGACUAUAUGGACACUGUGUUCUUUCUAUGUUCAUACAUAGCAAAUAAAGAAUAGCUUGUUUAUCUUUCCAUCAUUAAGAUUGUUAUAGAAAUUUCCUAUUAAUUAGUCCCUUUUGUUAUCUAUAAUCACAUAUACAUAUUAGCAAUUUCAUAAAUAAGUUACUACUCACUCCAUUUCAGGUUAUAAUACGUUUUGACUUUAGUUAAAGUUUAACUACUCUAAGUUUGACUAACUAUGUAGAAAAAAGUAGUAAUAUUUUUAACCCAAAACUAAUAUGUUAUGAAAAUUUAAUCAAUUAUAGAUUUAAUAAAACUAUGCUAGUGUUAUAAAUAUUAUUUUUUAUAGAGCUAGUUAAACUUACAGUAGUUUAUCUUUAACUAAAAUCAAAACUUAUUAUAAUCUGAAACGUAAACGGUGAGAGUAUAUCUUAACGUAGUUAGGGUGUGUUCUAAACUGCAUAGUUGGCUGGCUGGUGCAUUACGCACUGUAGCAGAUAUAUAUUUGGGAAGGGAUGAAUCAUGAAUGUAACCGGUGACAUCGCCAACACCCGUGACGCUCGAGGCCGUCGUCGGUCGUCUUCUUCGGUCGCCUACGACUGCGAGGACACCGCUUUAUUGUCCACCGGGUCAUUCACUUUCCCCAACCUCGCGUAGGAGAGAGCACCCAAGAGACCGUCGGUCGUCGAUGCGAAGGAGGAAUGCGACGCGACGUGCCGUCCACAGCUCUGUCCUCUCUGUCCGUUGUCCUCAGCGGCGUGCACUUGGUUGACAUGGACGGCUCAUGAAGACCUCCUUGGCAGCCGCAUCAGGGAAAAGUAGUGAUUCCGGCUGCGGCUGAGCAGCAUUGGCACGUGAAACCCUCCCUCCCUCUGCGUCGAUCUUAGGGUGUGCUCGUUAGGGCUGGUAGUGCUAGCUGCGGAGGUAGUGCUCCAAUGCACUGUGCAGCACGCGGAUAGGACUGCAGAAGUCAAUAACGUGGGCUGGCAGCGUUCCUGACGAGAGUUAGGUCGCCGUCGCCAACUUUCCAUCUUCCUCCCGUGCAUUGUAUUAGCCAGUGGUUUUUACGGUGUGCAUCGCUUUUCCUAAAUCGGUUGUGUGCUGUGGUUUGGCCAUAUUACCUUGCUGUGCACCUCACCCCCAUUGUUGGACUUCCAAGCUUGAGCUCAUCCUUUUGCCCGAAAUAUCUUGCUCUGCCCUCCUAUUGUUCUACCUCCAAGCGUGCCCGCAUCCAUUUGCAUACCGGAUAUCUCGACGUCGCUAGGUUUCUUCUGCACACCAGCGGUCGUCGACUGCAUCGUAGCCUUGGUGCCCAGACCGGCGUGGCCUUGCAGAGCACGCGCAUGGCGUAGAAUACUCGGCCUAAUCAGGUAGGCAUCCACUUCCCACAUUUGUCUGGCGCAUCAGAGGCGGAGAAAGGAGCUCUGGUUAGGAGCAUCGCUGCAUCGAGUGGAGUGAAAGCAUCGAGGUUGCCGAUUCUGGAAUCGUCGCAGCAAGCGCAGCGAGCGGUCUGGUCCAAUCUCGUGCGGCACAGUAAAAGGGAUUUGGCUCCUGUAGCGCCCUUUCCGUCGUAGCGCAUAGCGGGAAAAUUAAAACUUAAAAACCCUAAUUGUGAAAGUCCGCUGUUUGUUUGAAGUAUGUGUGCAUGCCAGUCUCGGAUCUCAGAUCCCCGAUUUGUCAAAUUCGAAUCCCCAAUUCAAAUUCCUAUGCAAAAGUCUAGUUUGCCUCCCUCAUAUUUGCUGGGCCGAUUUUCCUCCUCGGCCUACUCUCUCUCUCUCUCAGCUCGUUUCCCCCUCAGUCUCUCUUCCCCACGUGCGCCGCACGUGAUCGCGGUCGACUCCGAGCCGAGAGAGCUCUCUCUCUCUCUCGUUCAUCUCUCUCUCCAUUUUCUCCCUCCCGGCGUCGAACUCUCGCCCUCGAAAUCGCACGCCGUUGCUUCGCGCGCGCUCCCGCGAUCGCCGUCGUCGUCAGCUGCCUGCGCCGCCUGUGCCGCGCUGCCCUGCCGCGGCUCUGUAACGCGUGCCCGAGCCGUUCCACCCGGCUCUCCCUCUCCCUCCCGCGUGCCGCUUGGGCCGCCUCUCCGUGCCGGCCGGCCAACUAAGCUCACCCGAGCCGUGCCUCUCCUCUUGUCCCGCGCCUAAACCGCCCGAGGAAAGUCUAUUCCCCCUCCCUCUUUCUUUUUCUUUUCAAAAAGGGUUUAAAUAAAUCAUUUUCCCUUUAGACCAAAAAUCAAAUAAUCUUAGAAAUUCCAUAUCUUCGCAACCGUGCAUCCGAUCGACUCUGUUCACUUCCAAAUUUUCUCAAAUCUCGAGAUCUAUCUAAUGGCACGCUUAGAGGUCAAUAAUAGGGCUUUAUUUUCGCGUUUGUUGAUUUGUCUCGUUUCGCGUAUAGCUUGGGAGCCCGAAGACCCGCGGUGCGCGGAUUUCGAGGAUCAAGCUCAAGAUCUCGAGAAAGGCAAGUCACCUUUGAUCAUCUUGCACCUAUAAUUUAAAUCUAAGUAUUUCUUUUCAGCAAAUAAUGCAUGACUAGGAGUAACACGAGUAUUUUGGCCGCGGUUGCGAGAUAGCCUGCUGGCUCCAAUCCUAAUUGCUGCAAUUACCCUCCUUGAAUUAUUGAACACUUAAACCACCCUUGUCAACUGCUAUGCUUCGAUGCAUAGGCCUUCGGGCACGCGCCUCGGAACACUCCUCUCAAAUUUAAAAAUAUCCAACAAUGGGUAAAAUUUGGGGUUUUACAAAAGACUUGAAAAACCCGACACUUGGAUCGGUGCUUGCGAACUAAAUAAUUUUCCAAAAUCGCGGACCAGGGGACUUACCGGGAGUACAGUUUCCCGCUCUUGCACUUAAGGACCGUUUCCUUUGGAAUUUCAUCCGAACAUAAGAUAAGUGCGACCACAUGGGUGAAAUGGGACGCCCCUGGCUGAGUAAUUAGCUAAUCAGGGGAACCUUGAUACCAAGAGACAAGUGGAUUCAACGGGGUGGAGUCGAGGAGAACCCCCGGGCCUCCUGGCGUAGUAUGGUCUGGGACCCCUCUCUUUGGCAUAUGGUAAACCUGUGUCGGAUUUCGAAAUGCCUUGUCAUGAAAGCCUCAAGCUCACCAGACGUGGCUAUUCUGCACGGGCUGGGUGAUCCGGGUUAGUAAUGUCGUGUGGAUAAAGUGUACCCCCUCUGCAGAGGUUAUUAAACUGUUCGAACAGCCGUACCCACGGUCAUGAGCGGACGUGAGGUGAUUCCUUAGCGUAGUUUUGUUUGACUACUGCUUUGUGAAAUUGCUGUUGUGGAAUGGGAUCGUUGUUUGAAAUAUCUGUGACUGACGGGAUCAGCUAGGCUCGGGUGGCUGUUUGAAAGUUGACGGUUGGGUGCCAACCUUGAAUCAAUUCAAAGACUGAUACAUUACACAUACUCCGAUCGGACGAGACACACUGUCUCAUCCGUGUAAUUUGAGAAGCACUUACUUAGUUGUUUAAAAAGGAGUUUAACUAAAAACAAUUGUGAAAAUGAGCAGCCUUUCCUUUGAAGCCUUCAUUAAACACUUAAUUGUUAUGACUUGCUGAGUACUCCUGUACUCACCCUUACUCUAUAUAAAUAAUCCCCCAGUUGCUGAAGAAGAUGAGAUGGAUCCAGCUGAUGAGGAGUUUGUAACACCCUGAAAAUUCGACCAACAAAAUCAAAACUCUAAAAAUGCGGAUUUUCAAAAACUUUUUAAACAAAUUGCAUCAUGCCGAUUUUAUUCACCUAUUUCAUUGGAUUUUGAUUUCGGAGUUCGUUGAUCGCGAAUAAAGAAUAAUUAAUUAGGAAUAAACCCUAAAAUUAAACUGGCAAAAUAAAUAAUUAAAAUAUAAUUUAAAAUAAAGAUUAGGUGAGGUUGGUAAUAAAUAAAAAUAUUAUCGCGACCAUAUUAGUAUCAAUUAAAUUUAAGUGCGAUGGAAUAAGAAUUAACUUUAAUUAAAUUAAGUAAAUUAUAUAAAAAUAAAAUAUGGGUAAUGUUAAUCUAGGGCGAAUCUUUUGGUUAGAGCAACACAAAUAUUGAGUAAACUUGAUUUGUGCAAAAGUUAGAAUUUAUAAGGCGAGAUUUAAAUAGAAAAUAGACUAAAUUAGGGUUAAUAACAAUCUAGCACUAUUCAUUGCCAACAAGGUGCUUGAUGUGGUCCUAGCCGGCCCCGAGCCCCGCGCCGCCGAUGCCGUCGCGUCGCCGUCGCCGCACUGUCCCAUCACCGUCUGCCGCCGCGCGCCGUCGCCAUCGCCGCUGCCGCGCCGCGCGCCGUCCCGUCGCGCCGUCGCGUCGCCACGCCGCCGUCCCGUCGCCUCGCGCCGCGCGCUUGCCGCCUCGCGCCCCGCGCCGCUGCCGCGCCGCGCCGCGUCGCCGUCGCGUCGCCUGUCGCCGUCGCGUCGCCUGUUGCCGUCGCGCCGAGCCCUGUGCCAAGCCGCGCUGAGCCCCGCGCCGCGCCGCCCACCCGUCGCGUCGCCGAUGCCGCCUGCCGCGCCGCGCGCCCGUCGCCAUAGCCGCCUCGAACCCCACGCGCCGCGCCGUCGCGUCGCCAUUAGGGCCGGCCACCUCUCCCCGCGCCUUAUAAAUCCCCUUCCCGGUCGCCAUUUCACCCCGCACCACCUUACCUCCUCUUCCCCCAUUUUCCCCUCUUUCCUCUCCACCGCGCCGCCGCCUUCGUGCCGUUGCGCCGCCGCCCUCGGUGCCGCCGCGCCGCGCCGAGAGCUGCGCCAUGCGUCGCCGCCACCGCCGUUGGUAAGCCGCCGCCCCUCCCGUUGUUCGGUCUCCGCCGCCGCCUUGGGUAGGCAGUGAGCCGAGAGAGAGAGGAAGGGAGAAGCCGGGAGGGAGAGAAAUAGAAAGAAAGAAAGUAAAGAAAAAAAAGAAUAGAAAAGAAGAAAAGGAAAAAUAAAUAGAAAAUUAGGGAGAGAUUAAGGAGGUUUGGAAAAUUAAAAUAAUUGGGGUUAGUUGUAGGUUUCUUUUAGUUGUAGAAUCGCAAAAUUUUAUAUAAUUAUAGAAUAUUUUGGUAAUCUCUAUACGUAAUCAAUUCGCGAUAGAAAUUUAGAUUUAUUUAAGAGCUAAAUAAUUAUGUUGAAUUCUUAGGAAUGUACUUCUAAAUCACAAAAAAAAAGACUUAGGAUGAAUGAACUUAAAAUUGGAAUGAAGUGGUUUUGCAAACUUUGUAGUCGAUAUAGAAAGAUCGAUUCGCGUUCGACUUUUAUUUGAGUUUAUUUGGAUUUCAUUUGAAUUCUAAUUGAAUUCAAAUCAAUUCUUCCCACGUACUUUUAGAUCCCGAGGGAGUUGCGGAUCUGAGCCAGGAUCAAGACCCGCAGGACU
rnacentral:lncRNA from 1 species